AGGGAAACUUCAGUAUCCAAGACAGAGUAUCCUGAUGGGAAGGGGAAGGGCAACACCUGAGGCAGGCUACCUUCCCCGCCAUAAACAUUCUAAACUCGAGUUGCUCUGACAUUUCUUCCUCUGAAGGGCUAUUUUUAUUAUAAUUAUUUGUUUAGGCUUAAUUAACUUCUUUCCCAAUUACAAAAGAAAUCCAUGUUCUCUGUAGAAAAUGUCAAGGCAGUCCGUGACGAUCCUCUUAAUCUCUCUCAGAGUGUUCUGACUGUUUGAUGAAGCGAGAACAGAGCACGGGUCCUGAAUUCCAAAAGACCCGAGUUCAAGUUUUGAUGUUGCAACUUAGCCGACGCACGGCUUUCGAGGAAGGGGCGGCUUCUCUUGGCUGGCAUUUUCAAUAGAAGAAGGCUCCUCGGUGCAGCUGACGUGGUGAUUAAAUAAGGAUUUAUGCAAAAUACUAUAAAGUUGACAUAUGUCUGACAAGUUGGAUCAUGAGACACCCAGGGACACGUUCGAAUAAGCAGCAUCGGGGACAGAAAUGGGAGAGUCGCUGCUGAAGCAAGGAAGAAUUUUAAAAUUACAAGAUUUUAUAGGCAACUAAAGUCUCUCAAAUGGGAACAUCAGUAUGAAAUAGAUGACUUCUUAAGCCGAGCAAACAUCUUUUCAAUACGGCUAAAAGUAAAUCUCAAAUGUCCCAUCGCCAGAAAAUGUCAGAUAUUUGAGGUUAAUUGGCUUUAUUUAAUCUUUGUAUUAAAAAAAAAAUCAUCACAUCAGUUUGUACUCCAUAAGCACAUGCAAUUAUAAAUUGUCAGUUUGUAAUAUCUUAAAAAGACGAAUAAAGGUAAAUGAUCAAAAGUCAAUGUAAGAGGGAUCUUACCACAAGAUCCGUAGGAGUCGGGGCAAGUGAGGAAGUAGGGAUGAGGAUGCCAGACCAAGGUAGUUCCAUACAGUGACUUGGUUACUGAGUGAUCUCAGCUGGGGAACUUAAUAGGGUUGCCUAGCAACCAUCAGGGGCUAAGAAGACCAGAGAAGAGCCAUGUCUAGAAGGGGUCAGUUCCAUUGAAGCUGGAUCCACAAGGAGAAGAGAGUCUCAAUUGAUCAACUGCCCAGAUCCUGUGACGUCAUCCAGACAGUGAACCCACAGAAAGUUCUGUGAACCAUCAAGACCCCUGAGACAGAGAGCAGGAGAAUCAACCCAACCCUGGAACAGGACACUGAUCAUUUCCUCAUGCCAGUCCUGUUAAUACAAACUGUAAAACCCUCCAACUUGGACUGGGGAGAAGGCUCAGUGAGUAUGAGCACAACUGAUGUACAACUAUGAGGACCUAAGUUCAAAUCCCCAGCAUCCACAUAACAACCAGGCGUGGCUGCCCAAGCCUGUAAGCACAGCAUUGUGGGGUAUAGACGUGCAAAUCUCAGGAGCUCAAUGGCCAGCCAGUCUGGCUGAAAUGCUGAGCUCUGGGCACAAUAAUGUCCUGUCUCAAAGGAAUAAGGUAGAAAAUCAUAAAACAGGGUACUCAGUAUCCUUCUCUGGCUCCUGUGCAUGUACAUGAGUGCUCACAUAACAUAUACACACAUAUAACCACACAUACAGGGCUUCCACAGGAAGGGGCACCGAACAGAAUGCACUGGCUGGGCCAGGAGCCAUGGGCACACCUUAUAACUUCUAACCCCAUCCCAUUAAAGACAUUCUACCAGUCCAGCCAGCGCAGCUAGACCUGGAACUUGG
rnacentral:lncRNA from 1 species